AAAAAAAAGAAGAAGAACAGAAGUCCUCAGAAAAUGUAGACGAGAGCGGAAAUGUAAGACAAUCGAAGAGCAGGAAAAAAGAACAAGAACAGGUGAAGUUGACUAUCAAGUUAAACAUGUUAAAUACUUUAACCGAGACUCUUGUCGAUAAAGAAUCAACCAAAAAGGCUGUAUGCCGAAAAAUGAAAGUGAUAUCUGCCCCCAAAAAGGGUGACAUUGAAAAAACUAAGGUGAACAAAAGUAACCAUUUUCAAUAUAUGUGUAGGAUGACCAGAGGUAACCAAAGCCAAUUUCUGUGUGGGUGACCAGAGGUUACCAUGUUUAAAAUAUAUGUAGGGCGACCAGAGGUAACCAUAGUCAAUAUCUGUU